UUGGAGGGCAAGUCUGGUGCCAGCAGCCGCGGUAAUUCCAGCUCCAAUAGCGUAUAUUAAAGUUGUUGUGGUUAAAAAGCUCGUAGUUGAACCUUGGGCCUGGCUGGCCGGUCCGCCUCACCGCGUGCACUGGUCCGGCCGGGCCUUUCCCUCUGCGGAACCCCAUGCCCUUCACUGGGUGUGGCGGGGAAACAGGACUUUUACUUGAAAAAUUGAGUGCUCAAGGCAGGCCUAUGCUCGAAUACAUUAGCAUGGAAUAAUAGAAUAGGA
rnacentral:rRNA from 1 species